rnacentral:rRNA from 1 species
UCUUCCGCAAUGGACGCAAGUCUGACGGAGCAACGCCGCGUGAGUGAUGAAGGUUCUCGGAUCGUAAAACUCUGUUGUUAGGGAAGAACAAGUACCGUUCGAAUAGGGCGGUACCUUGACGGUACCUAUACAGAAAGCCACGGCUAACAACGCGCCACCAGCCGCGGUAAUACGUAGGUGGCAAGCGUUGUCCGGAAUUAUUGGGCGUAAAGCGCGCGCAGGCGGUUUCUUAAGUCUGAUGUGAAAGCCCCCGGCUCAACCGGGGAGGGUCAUUGGAAACUGGGGAACUUGAGUGCAGAAGAGGAGAGUGGAAUUCCACGUGUAGCGGUGAAAUGCGUAGAAAUGUGGAGGAACACCAGUGGCGAAGGCGACUCUCUGGUCUGUAACUGACGCUGGGGCGCGAAAGCGUGGGGAGCGAACAG